ACCAUAAACGAAUUGACCGCACUGUUUCCUGCCAGCAUCAUAAUACCACGUUGGAUGAUACCCUUCGCAAGGUCCAGCAAUUUUUGAUAUAUAAUUGGUUCGUUCGCAUAAGGAGUUGCCUUUAAAAUCUAAAUUCUAUAUAAUGACACACUUCUGGCGCGCACGUAUGUGUCUUUAAUUUUAAUCCGCCGUACCAGAAUCUUGAACAACCGCCGUAGUCGGUAUCAUAGAACCACUUGACUGUAAAAUCUCGACAUGAGCCUCUGUCUU